CCAUCCUCAGAUGAAAACGGGCACCUCUCUCGUGGUGGCGUCCAGCAGCUCCAUGUAGUAUUACUCACAACAUGGGUUGGUCCCAACAAUAAAAAAAACUUUACUGUCGCGACGGAUUGCCGCCAGCUUGCAACAGCAAUGCACAACAAAAAUGCAGUUGAAUUUGGCAUUUCUGGACUUCUCCACUAUACCUACCGGUAGCGAUAAUUCUUUUUCUGAGUGUGAUGAUCGCACCGCAAAGUGAUUAGUGAUGGAAUAUACGGAUCGUUGGCAUUUCUGAAAGCGAGAAUGCGAGCAAUUGGAUCUCAACAACCGUCGGCGAUCGGAGGCAAUCUAUUCUCGGUUGAAUUGAAUUAACUUUAUAGGAAAUCAUGGUUCUACAAUUUUAUGGAUGCCUUUGCUGAUUGGAUUUUUAUCUUUA